AGGAGCCCAGAAAUGGGUAUGUGU
rnacentral:piRNA from 1 species